UACGUAGGGUGCGAGCGUUGUCCGGAAUUAUUGGGCGUAAAGAGCUCGUAGGCGGUUUGUCGCGUCUGCUGUGAAAACUCGGGGCUUAACCCCGGGCCUGCAGUGGGUACGGGCAGACUAGAGUGCGGUAGGGGAGACUGGAAUUCCUGGUGUAGCGGUGAAAUGCGCAGAUAUCAGGAGGAACACCAAUGGCGAAGGCAGCUCGCUGGGACGGUACUGACGCUGAGACGCGAAAGCGUGGGGAGCAAACAGG
rnacentral:rRNA from 1 species